GCCUGGGUGGCUCAGCUGGUUGAGCGUCUGACUUUGGCUCAGGUCAUGAUCUUGUAAUUUGUGAGUUUGAGCCCCACAUCGGGCU
rnacentral:tRNA from 1 species